GCCGCGGUAGCUCAGUUGGCAGAGCGCCGGGCUGUUAAAUCCUUACGGACACCCGGUGGUCGGUGGUCCGAGUCCACCCCGCGGCG
rnacentral:tRNA from 1 species